CGCUGCUUCUGCUGGCGUCGCCGCAGCAGAGCAGCCAUUAUCCUGCAGGAGGCUGCGACCUGAUCCCUGGGCCGUGCAAUUAGCAUGGCUGCGAAAUAAACGAAAACCAAAAGGGCCAACGAAUCCAGAAAUACUCUAAAAAACUCGGUGCCAAAGUGUUGAAAAUACAGGGGAUGUGUCUUCCCCAAAAUAUAUUGAUUGCCACACUAGUAAAACCCCAAGUACAAACGGAUUUAAAGCUGCAUUCCGAUCAGGACACACGAACUACAUAGGAGCAUCUGCCGGAACUCCCUCCUCCUCCUUCUCCUCCUCAUCCUCCGGCCAUUACUCAGCAGUCUCAGCAGGGCUUAGUGCUGAAUCAUCGGCACCAUCGUUACCGAUUACCAAUUUACUCAUUUACCGAUUUGGAGCAGGAACGCGAAGGCUUAAGAAGUGGCGCCCAACGCUGGGAACUGCUUAUUCUGCUUCUUCCACUGGCGACAGCGAUCCAGGCCGCGCACCCAUUUUAUCGACGUGAAGAAAGUGCCGUAAUCCGCGGGCAAUCAAUUAGAUACAAGCACACUAAGCACUCCCAAAGACAUAGCGGCCGUAUCUUAUCUUAUCGCCGCUUCUUCCGAUAAGGUCGGGUCUUACUUUCCGCACUCUGUUUUUUUCGGACUACUGCCUAAUCUCGGGGCCCUCGGUGAGGUCUUGGCUUCAGUUGGUUUCCAGAGGUGAGGGCGAAGACAACACGGAGCUGGCUCCUGCGGCGGAAAGGCUUCCGUGACUCUCCGGACACGGACACGAAGACCUCGCGAAUGCCUAUAUUUAAUUGGCAUGCCACCACGAGCUUUGUAAUCACAUUUAUGGGUCAUUCCAUAAUUUCGAAGGGAAUAAGGCAAACGGUUGUAUAGUCGCCGGCCAUCGCCGCAUCACGUGUGGCACGAUAAAUAUAAUUUACCCGAGGCGCAUGUAAAUGCCCCGCCGCCUAAAUUACCCCGCCUUGUACACACACAUUGUAUAUGUUUACUAACAUUUUCACUUUUUUGCAGCCGUGAUUGCCCACCCUGAGUUCAUUUCGCCCCUGCGACUGCUCUCCUACAGUUUGCUCCACGUCUACCCUGUAGAUCCGAAUUUGUUUUAUACUAGCUUUAAGGACAAAUUCGGUUCUAGAGAGGUUUGUGUGGUUCAAUAUCCAUCGUAAAUCCAUAAUUUAAAGUGAAUCCUAAAUUAAGUGAUAAAGUGAACAUAAAAACAUGGUUAUUACUAAUAGAAUUGAUUUAAGAAGUUGAUCUAAAUUAUCCAAAAGGAACACAAAAAAAUAAAAAUAAAGAUUAGAGCCCCGGCUUCAAUUAACAAAUGUAAGAAAUGUAGAUAAUAAUAUAAUUAUUACACUUACUCCAGGAUGACUCACCUUCAACAAUUAACACCAAUUACUGUUGCCAAGUAAUAGAUAAUUUUUAGUGCUUACCAUAAAAUCCAUGAUAAUGAAUAGCUGUUUUGACACAAUUUUC